rnacentral:lncRNA from 1 species
UGAAGAAACCAAUUUCAACUAAAGAAGUUUCUUCAACCGCUCGACUAGAGCACGCUCACGUCUCCGACAUAUCUCCGACCCGAAGAUCUUCCCGCCCUCUAAGGAUUGACGGCUCAUCAAACGCGAUAAUGCCUAUUAGUGUUCAUAAUACAUGUAAAUGAGUAGUUAGAGUAAUUAACGAAACACUUGUAUAUAUAGUGAACAUUGUAUACACAUUAAUCUUAAUGAAGAUAUUUUCAUUUUACUAUCUUUGCUAAUAUGAUAUCAGAACGACUGAGCUGAGCUCAACCAUUUCUCUGAUCACCUCUGAUCAUCGUCUUCGUUCACUCACUAUCUCUGAUCAUUCAUCAUCUUCUUCAUCUAUGAUCGUUAUUGUUCCUCGACUCUUCUACUUUCGAUUUCUUCGAUCCAUCUUCACUCCGCAUCUCGCAAUCUCCGAUCA